rnacentral:tRNA from 4 species
GGAAGCGUGGCCAGGUGGCUUAAGACUGCGGCUUGCUAAGUCGCAGGACCCUUUCCGGGCUCCUCGGGUUCGAAUCCCGCCGCUUCGGCCA